AAGGAAUAUUGCGCAAUGGGCGAAAGCCUGACGCAGCGACGCCGCGUGGGGGAUGAAGGCCCUUGGGUUGUAAACCCCUUUUGUUCGGGAAGAAGUGCGAUCAGGUGAACAAUCUGGUCGUUUGACGGUACCGGACGAAUAAGCUCCGGCUAACUCCGUGCCAGCAGCCGCGGUAACACGGGGGGAGCAAGCGUUGUUCGGAAUCACUGGGCGUAAAGCGCACGUAGGCGGACUUUCAAGUCAGGGGUGAAAUCCCGGGGCUCAACCUCGGAACUGCCUUUGAUACUGUUGGUCUUGAGUCCGGAAGAGGUGGGUGGAAUUCCUAGUGUAGAGGUGAAAUUCGUAGAUAUUAGGAAGAACACCGGUGGCGAAGGCGGCCCACUGGUCCGGUACUGACGCUGAGGUGCGAAAGCGUGGGGAGCAAA
rnacentral:rRNA from 1 species